rnacentral:rRNA from 1 species
GAUAACAGGCUUAUCUCCCCCAAGAGUCCACAUCGACGGGGAGGUUUGGCACCUCGAUGUCGGCUCAUCACAUCCUGGGGCUGUAGUAGGUCCCAAGGGUUGGGCUGUUCGCCCAUUAAAGUGGUACGCGAGCUGGGUUCAGAACGUCGUGAGACAGUUCGGUCCCUAUCCGUCGCAGGCGUAGGAAAUUUGAGAAGACCUGUCCUUAGUACGAGAGGACCGGGAUGGACGUACCUCUGGUGUACCAGUUGUUCUGCCAAGGGCAUGGCUGGGUAGCUAUGUACGGAAUGGAUAAGCGCUGAAAGCAUCUAAGCGCGAAGCCAACUUCAAGAUAAGAUUUCCCACCGCAAGGGUAAGACCCCAGAAAGACUAUCUGGUUGAUAGGUCGAAGGUGUAAGUGCAGCAAUGUAUUUAGCUUAUCGAUACUAAUAGGUCGAGGACUUGACCAAU